rnacentral:rRNA from 1 species
GUACGGGGGGAGCAAGCGUUUGUUCGGAUUUACUGGGCGUAAAGGGCGCGUAGGCGGCCUUCUAAGUCAGACGUGAAAUCCCCCCGGCUUAACCUGGGAACUGCGUCUGAUACUGGAGGGCUUGAGUAUGGGAGAGGGAUGUAGAAUUCCAGGUGUAGCGGUGAAAUGCGUAGAUAUCGGGAGGAACACCUGUGGCGAAGGCGGCGUCCUGGACCAAUACUGACACUGAAACGCGAAAGCCAGGGGAGCAAACGGG